rnacentral:rRNA from 1 species
AUUGAACGCUAGCGGGAUGCUUUACACAUGCAAGUCGAACGAGUGGCGGACGGGUGAGUAAUAUAUCGGAACGUGCCCAGCCGUGGGGGAUAACUACUCGAACGAGUGGAUACUACUGCAUACUAUUGGAGCGGCCGAUAUCGGAUGAGCUAGUUGGUGGGGUAAAGGCUCACCAAGGCGACGCUCCGUAGCUGGUUUGAGAGGACGACCAGCCACACUGGGACUGAGACACGGCCCAGACUCCUACGGGAGGCAGCAGUGGGGAAUGUUGGACAAUGGGGGAAACCCUGAUCCAGCAAUCCCGCGUGUAUGAGAAGGCCUUCGGGUUGUAAAGUACUUUUGUCAGAGAAGCGGUAUCUGCAGAAUAAGCACCGGCUAACUACGUGCCAGCCGCCGCGGUAAUUC